UUUGUUUUUAGGUUUAAAUUAUUCAUGUUUGGUCCCACGAUUGUGGUCGGAAUUUAUGUCCGCCUGCACAGAGCCGCCUUGUACAGCCACGAGCUUCUCGGCACGGUGCCUCACACCUUCGGCUGGGACCCCUUACGGGAAGGAGAGUUCGGUGCCUGGAUCGUUGAUAUAUAUGUUAGAUGUAUUACUAUUUAUAUUUAUAUAUUUAUAUUUAUAUUUAUAUUUUUGGUAUCUGUUAUACAUAUCUUAAUUUUUGAGCAUUGUAAAGACUUGUGUUUCAUCGUAAUAAAUUUCUAUAUAUCUUUGGUUUUCUCCUAAGUCUCUAUGUGUUCUUUGAUUAUUUCUGUUAUCAUUUAGUUGGUCGUACUUUUGCCCAUCCCUUUUUGAUUUGGAUCUUUAUUGUUGAUUAUAUUGCCUGCUUCGUUCUUUCCAUCCGUUCAUGUAAUGGACCAUUAUUUUGAUUCCGCUAUAUUAUUUUCUAGUGUAGGACCACUAUUUCCUCUUACUACUGUAUUAUCACCGCAGCGGUGCUGCCAUCCUUACGUCAUAUCCUCAUGUAGUCAUUCUUGUAUAUUCUAUCCCCCAAUCUGCGCAUGCGUGUCUAUUCACUGACGUAUACAUUACCGGUGCUAUAGGUGUCCUCAUUUCUUUUAAUUGCUAUUUACCGGUAUUCGGGCUACUAUUUCACUAUCUUAUUUAACCCCUACGUAUCAUUAUAUUGCCUCCUCUACUUUCUAUUAGCCUCUGCUUAUUUCUUAAGAGUCUGUCUACCUUUUAUUAUUUUCUCGCUGUGGCAGGUACCAGUGCGCCUAGCUACUUCCCUGACUUUCCUCUGCGCAACCUUUAUGCGUCUACUACUAGGCACACUUGCGCCACCACUUCCUUCUUUAUCGUGUGCCUUCCUGUACCAGUUGUUCGCGUUUCAUCCCGUCUACUAUUCUUGAAAUUAAUGAAACUUUUGAAACUUUUGACUUACCUUGUGUCUUCUGUUUUUUAUUUGUAUAGUCUAACUUUCCCGCUGUUGUGUGGUGUACCUUGUGCAUCCCAGGGUUUAUUGUUGGUGCAUUUUUCGGGUUGUCUUUGUUUGUUGUGCUAUGUGUUCGUGUUCGUGCUCGUUUUACCUCCGCCAUUCCAGCUGUCACUUUAUCUUCAUUUUAGUAUCAAUUUCGUGUCCGUCCGAGUCAUUGUUUAACAUCCCAUCGUUCGUUCUUCGUCGCCCUAUUUAGUUACAUCCCUUCGGGCUUUUUCUAUUGUGUAUUUUUCAAACUACCUUCAUUUAUAUGAUCUUGUUCGUAACCGCCAUAACCGCCUACGCCAUUACACCUGUCAAUUUUAUCUUUUAUUUUGUACGGAGUUUUCGUGUUAUUUUGCAUUGGUGAUUGACUUCCUUUUGUAGUUUUCCGUCCUGUUGUUUGUUUUCACCCUUUCUAUUUAUUCUCACUUGAUUGUGUAAGGUGUCAUCAUAGUUUCUGUGUUCGUUCGUUGUAGCCCUUCCGAAGAUUCUCUCUGUUGGAGGGAUAAUUCGUUAUUUCCGACGUUUUCCUUGUCCGCACUGUAAUUUUCUAUUUAAUAAAUAAAAUGUACACAAAAAACAA